CCUACGGGCGGCAGCAGUGAGGAAUAUUGGUCAAUGGCCGGAAGGCUGAACCAGCCAUGCCGCGUGAAGGUCAGUGCCCUAUGGGCGUUAAACUUCUUUUGUGCGGGAGCAAUAAUGGUCACGUGUGGCCAGACGAGAGUACCGUACGAAUAAGCAUCGGCUAACUCCGUGCCAGCAGCCGCGGGAAUACGGGGGAUGCAAGCGUUAUCCGGAAUUAUUGGGUUUAAAGGGUGCGUAGGCUGUGAGGUAAGUCAGCGGGGAAAUGCCCCGGCUCAACGGGGUGAAGGGCCAUUGAUACUGCCUGGCUGGAAUGCGGAUGCGGUGGGAGGAAUGUGUGGUGUAGCGGUGAAAUGCAUAGAUAUCACAAAGAACACCGAUUGCGAAGGCAUCUCACGAAUCCGCGAUUGACGCUGAUGCACGAAAGCGUGGGUAUCAAACAGGAUUAGAUACCCUGGUAGUC
rnacentral:rRNA from 1 species